UUAAGUUCAGCGGGUAUCCCUACCUGAUCCGAGGUCCAACUUAUUAUUUUAUUUGCAGGACCUACAAUAGUUUCUCCAAAGCGAGUCCAGUCUGCUACGCUUGAGUCUAUUGAGGCACCUCUACUGAUUUUCAGGCACGUCACUACCUGUACAGAGACGAGGGAGACGAAAACCCAAUACCAAGCAAGGCUUGAGAUUUG
rnacentral:misc_RNA from 1 species